rnacentral:rRNA from 1 species
UACGUAGGUGGCAAGCGUUGUCCGGAUUUAUUGGGUUUAAAGGGUGCGUAGGCGGCCUUGUAAGUCAGUGCUGAAAUAUCCCGGCUUAACCGGGAGGGUGGCAUUGAUACUGCAGGGCUUGAGUAAAGUUGAGGUUGGCGGAAUUGACGGUGUAGCGGUGAAAUGCUUAGAUAUCGUCAAGAACACCGAUAGUGAAGACAGCUAACUAAGCUUUAACUGACGCUGAGGCACGAAAGUGUGGGGACCAAACAGG